rnacentral:piRNA from 1 species
UAGUAAUAGGGUUGAGGGUGAAAAU